GACACAGAGGGGGCUCCGAGACCGGAAAAAUACCUGAGGGACUAAGACACUGUAAUACUUCCUCAGUUCAAAGCAAAGAGUGACCAGCUACCUCUAACAAAAAGAAGGGUUGUGUUUCAAAUUCAAAGACGACUGAAUAUCUGACGAGUUAGAAUUGACAGUGGGUCAGUC